UGUGCUCUUCCGAGCUGUUGGCAUGGCUUAAAGAUUGAAGAAUGGGCUUCACUUUCAGGCCUGCUGGAUGUGGUUUUUUGGAGGGUGGUUCUUACUGGAAGUCAUUUGGCAUUGCUGGUGUUUUACGUGAGUCCGGGUCGCAGUGCAUUCUAUUUCAUGUCUGGCCAGUUGGGAAUGAAGCUGAGUAUAUUGUGAUACUACAGUGAUGGAGUCACCACGAGGUAGUCUUUGUAGGUCAGAGGAAAGAAACUCUAGGCUGAAAGAGCUUAAAGUCCCACCCAAAGUAAAACACGCUAAAUUAGUAACUGCCUA